GGACUUAGGAUAAACCUAAACCAGUGACCUUCAAAGCCACAAACAAGAGUUAAAAACUCUUAGUCCCUG
rnacentral:tRNA from 1 species